GCCCCGGUACUCCAAUCGGUAGAGAGGGCGGUCUCAAACACCGCACAGUGUGGGUUCGAAUCCCACCCGGGGCA
rnacentral:tRNA from 1 species